UUAAAUUGACAUUAGCCGCAUGGAAUCGAUAUAGAGUUAUUUUUGUUGAAUACAAUUUUAAAUGGAUCUCAGUGGGCACACUGUGCCUAUGGUUAUAUUAUAUCCAUGCCUAAGAACAGUACGAAAAUUAUUAUUCUGUGGCACGAGUGUUUCAAGUGAAUGAAAAAGAAAAGAUUGAUUCAGGGCUGGCAACGGGCGUCGUGACAGCCCUGGUGUUGCAGGCGGAUAGGCUGUGACCACUACCAUCGGAUGGACCGCAUGCCUUUGUUUGAUCAGUAGUGUAAAAAAGAAUAUUCUGUUCACGCUGCAGUUUGCAAAUUCACACAAUAAUAGCGCUGUAGACUUUGUACAAAAGUAUCUUCAUUUGCAUAGCCUGUCCCGUUUCGCUAUCAGAUCGGCAUCACAACAAUAGGUUUACUCUGUGUGACCUCGACGACCGAAACUGGCACAAAACUAUUUGUCUCUUCUUUGAUGAAUGGGCUGUACUGUGUUCGCUGGCCUCAAUAUAUUUGAAAAAUGUAUUUUCAAUUCGAUGUGGUUAUUUAAAUGUACAGUCAACAUCACUACCUAUCCAAAUCAAUUGUGAAAUCGCCUCUUAUUAUCGCGGCAUAUAUCUAAGCUGGGUAACUUGAAAACAGUCGAUUGCACAGCAAACGGCUCAUGAAAACUUGAAUUAAUGAUGAAUUACUUGAAAUGAAUUGUGGUAACUUCAUGUAUUGUUGACCGUACAAGCUAAGUAACAAGACACAUUAGAAACACGCGAUCGCCAUUGCAGCUGGCGUUACAACGUUAUAAACCUCUUUGAUAAUGCCGACAUAGCAUUGCAUCGGAAUGAAUGUGAGAAGUACUGCGAUGAUGUCAAACUUGGCACCAGUUUGUCUUGGAGUUCUCCUUCAGUUCUUGAUGUGAUUACUACAUAGGUGUUAGUUUAGUCAUGAUUUGGCACCUCGACAUUGGCGUGUGAACUUACAACGUUACAACGCAAACAUGGGUGCGCUCUUGACCAAACGGGAUUGUGUGUGCACUGGCUAAUGUGCUGAGUUGGUUAAAGCUGUUAAGUUUAAAAAGAAAAGACAAGGCUUAAAGUGCUUUGAAAACAAAACUUUGAAGUUAAAUCGUCGAGGACGCUGCAGCUCAAGUUUUUGAGAUUUCACAGGUGAAAAUGAGGAUUUGGGAAAGUUUACCAACUAAACUGGAAGCGAGAAACUUUGUGCCACACACACAAGUGCGAGGGCUCUGCUCAGUAUGGAAUGGAACACAUUAAUGUACUUAAUUUAUUUUAUUAAUUUUAGAUUAAUGUAAAGCAUUUACUUUCUUAACUUUUUUUAUCUGUUAUAUUAAAUACUUUUGUCUUAUUUUUGUUUUUCCUUGUCGUUUGACUUGGUGAUUAUGCAAAAUUUUUACAAUUUGUGCGUUAUGACGAAUUUCCCCCGAUUAUAUUGCAUAGCCAGUGAAACAUGAGCGAUUACGUUUUAACAACCACAUUAUAAAAUAUGUCUUUGCAAAUAAAUAAUAUUCGGUCGUUUGAGUCAUAUUUUUAUGUUUGCUUUUUUUAAUCUGUCCUUGGUCUUAUUGCACAGAUUUCUGGGCAUUGUCCUUUGUUUAUGUACUUUAUGGUGUCAACUCCCUCUUGGAUUAGUCAUGGUGAACUCGUUUAUGUUAUGGUUCUUUUUAUUGCUCGUACAAUGCGACAUUGGAAUGUUUUCCAGUGAAACUGAGACGAGUACGUGUCCGCGGAAUUGUUAAAGUUGAAAAUUGAGAAUACAUAUUUUUUUAUGCGUAAAACGAGUACUUUCUACUUUACAUCAGCUUGUAGUAUUAAAGGAUUUAAAUAUAUGUAUCUUGUAAAGAAGAAAAAUCAUAUCUAAUAAUUAUAAGAAAACUUGUCUUUGUACGUACAGUCUACUACUCAAAUUCAUUGCAAACUUGCCGCUAUUACCGCGCCAUAGACGUUCGAUGCAGGGUAACUUGAUGUGCUGUUGACUGUACUACUUUAUUUUGGCGUGCUUUAUAUUUUUUGAAUAGAUCAGUUAUUUCAAAGACAAUGUUAUUAAUUUCCUAUUUAGGAUUUCAAUUAAACGUAUCUGAUGUUCUAUUAUUGUGCAAUAUUGGCACACACAAACCUAAAUAAAAAUACUUGACUGUAACUUGAUUACCCUUUCAUGAGCCACGUGGCUCUACAAGACUUCACAAGAGACUAUUGUGAAGAACUAGUAGUAAUGGGAUCGUAGUCAUAAGCGUUUGGCGUUUUA